UCACUGGCACAAGUGUUUUGACCUUCUUAUAAGUUGAAAGGCUAAGAGUUGGCCGAAGCUGAUGCCCCCGAAGGUUCGGGGUAGAGGUCUGGGCCGGGCCUGAGCGUGGAGUGUGUGUAAAUUAGCCCGGGACCCCAGCUCUUGUCGUGGGUCUCAUCUCCCUCCUGAGAAACCCAAAGGAUCUGAAUUAGUUUCUAAGAGACUGAGGUUCUCUGAUUUCUAAUUGCAUUAAUGAAGGCACAGCCCAGGACUGUAGGAGGUAGAACAAACCCUGGCAGUGUUCAUGGUGCUAGUUGUUGACCAGUGCCUCCACACUUCUUAUAGUGGCUCAAGAGAAACCCCUAGAGUCUUGAAAAGGCACAUAUCCAUCACUUGCCAAAAUUUUGUUAUCCUUCUUCCUCCUCCACUUCCAUUGUCACUUUAGGUUGGUUUCUACUAUUGUGGGUUAGUUUGCAAUUUCUAGAGUUUUAUAUAAAUGGAACCAUGCAGUGUGUUCUUUUUUGCUUCUUUCAGCAUAAUUAUUUUGAAAUUAAUUUAUAUUAAUAAUUAGCUCCCUUUUAUUGUUGAUUGUAUGGGCAUAUCUGUUUUAUGUCCUUCAUUCUCUUUAUCCAAUAGUUGUUCUUUUCCAGAUUGAAGCUAUAAAACUAUGUAAAAGUCUUUGUUCAUGUGUGCAUAUGCAUUCGUAUUUCUUGGAAUGUUGGAUCACAUUAUAGGUGUAUGAUUGUACUUUUUUUUUUUCCCUUUGAGAUGGGGUCUCCCUAUGUUGCUCACACUGGUCUUGAAUUCCUAGAUUCAAGUGAUCCCUCUGCCUCAGCGUCCUGUAACUGGGAAUCUAUAGGCAUACACCAUAGUGCUUGGAUGUUUUAAGUUUUUAUUAAGAGACUAUUAAACUGGGUGGGGCUGGGGAUGUAGCUCAGUGGUAAAGGACUUGCCUAGUGUGCCCAAUCCAGGUUGGUACCCAGAAGGACCAAAACCAAAAACAACUGAACAGUUUCCAAAGUGGUCCUACAAUUUUUUUUUUUCAUUUCCACUAGCAGUAUAAGAAUUCUAAUUGUUUCUCAUUGUUACCAGCAAAUAACUUCUCAAACCCUAAGAAACAAUCUUUUUGGCCA
rnacentral:lncRNA from 1 species